rnacentral:rRNA from 1 species
AAUGAACGCUGGCGGUAGGCUUAACACAUGCAAGUCGAACGACAGCACAUUAACUGCUUCCUCUGACGGGGGGCGUUGUGAGUGCGGGGCGGGAGUGCAACUGAAGCGACUGUUACGUGCCUGAUACCGGAGGGUAACUGACAGUAAUGACUCAUACUACCUCCGAGUGAAACCAAGCGGCCUGCCGAGCUUGCAAGAACUAAUGUGCUGAUGGCGGAUUCGCUAGUUGGCGGGGUAAAGGGCGACCUAGGCGACGAUCCGUAGCUCGUCUGAGAGCAUGAUCAGCCACACUGGAACUGAGACACGGUCCAGACUCUUACGGGAGGCAGCAGUGGGGAAUCUUGCGCGAUGGGGGAGAGCCUGAUCCAGCACAACCGCGUGAGUGAUGAAGGACUUCGGGUUGUAAAGCCAUGUUGUUGGGCAAGAAGAGAAGCAGGUUAAUAACCGGAUGUUAUGACGGUACCUAACGAAUAAGCACCGGCUAACUUCGUG